rnacentral:rRNA from 1 species
GAUGAACGCUGGCGGCGUGCCUAAUACAUGCAAGUCGAGCGAACAGAUAAGGAGCUUGCUCCUUAGACGUUAGCGGCGGACGGGUGCGUAACACGUGGGUAACAUACCUAUAAGACUGGGAUAACUCCGGGCAACCGGGGCGAGUGCCGGAUAACAUUUACAACCGCAGGGUUCGAAAGUGAAAGAUGGUUUUGCUGUCACUGAUAGAGGGUACCGAGGCGUUUUCGAGAGUGGGUACGGUAAGGGCUAACCAAGGCAACGAUACGUAGCCGACCCGAGAGGGUGACAGUCCACACUGGAACUGAGACACGGUCCAGACUCCUACGGGGGGCAGCAGUAGGGAAUCUCCCGCAAUGGGCGAAGGCCUGUCGGAGCAACGCCGCGUGGGUGAUGAAGGUCUUCGGAUCUUAAAGCUCUGUGAUUAGGGAAGAACAAAUGUGUAAGUAACUGUGCACGUCUUGACGGUACCUAAUCAGAAAGCCACGGCUAACUACGUG